rnacentral:rRNA from 1 species
GACGAACGCUGGCGGCGUGCUUAACACAUGCAAGUCGGACGAAGAGCGAUGGAAGCUUGCUUCUAUCAAUCUUAGUGGCGAACGGGUGAGUAACGCGUAAUCAACCUGCCCUUCAGAGGGGGACAACAGUUGGAAACGACUGCUAAUACCGCAUACGAUCUAAUCUCGGCAUCGAGGAAAGAUGAAAGGUGGCCUCUAUUUAUAAGCUAUCACUGAAGGAGGGGAUUGCGUCUGAUUAGCUAGUUGGAGGGGUAACGGCCCACCAAGGCGAUGAUCAGUAGCCGGUCUGAGAGGAUGAACGGCCACAUUGGGACUGAGACACGGCCCAGACUCCUACGGGAGGCAGCAGUGGGGAAUCUUCCGCAAUGGACGAAAGUCUGACGGAGCAACGCCGCGUGAGUGAUGACGGCCUUCGGGUUGUAAAGCUCUGUUAAUCGGGACGAAAGGCCUUCUUGCGAACAGUUAGAAGGAUUGACGGUACCGGAAUAGAAAGCCACGGCUAACUACGU